rnacentral:lncRNA from 1 species
UAUUUAUCAAAAAAAUGACACAAUCAUCAAUCAUGGCAACUUUCUUUUCCAUUGUAAAGCUCUGAACAAGUUUUGCAUUAAACUGGUUUAUUUGAGCAAAAAAAUUGCUAUAUCAAGUUGUUUAGGUGUAUUUACAGUAUCCCUUACAUACUUAGGGGAACGUUUAAUGAGGGACCGUCAUGCACCAUUGCUUGUACAUGAAUGUUAAUACAGUCACCAUACUAAUGCAAAGAACAUUGAACUCACACUGAGCUGGAGGGUCUUUUGACCCUCACCCAUGACUCAACUUUCCCUUUAGGUGAGAUGCCGUCACUAUCGCUCUGCAUGGCCUCCCUGGAUGACCCAGUGCUGUCUGUCUGUCCAGGUUUGGAGAUGUCUGUCUGUCCAGCUUCAGUGCUGUUUGUCUAUUCAGGUUUAGUACUAUCUGUCUGUCCAGGAGGUUCAUUGCUCUCUGUCUGCCCAGGUUCAGUGCUGUCCAUCUGUCCAGGUUUAGAGUUGUCUGUCUGUCCAGGUUUAUCUUGGCCGCCCUCCGCCUCAAGGGUCCUUUUCUCCGCCUCAGAGUACCCACUUUCCUCUGUGUCCACGCUACAGGUGUGCCCAUCUCCAAAUUCUCGUUACAUUCCGCUCCUUCUCCUGCUUCCAGCUGAGGGUCAGUUUCGACACUUUGGAGCACUUUCUGUGGAGUGCGAGCGACCCCCUCUUGCUCAGUGUCCUGUCUAUCUCCUCCCCUGGCGAUGGAGCCUCCAUACCAAAUAGCUCGGUAAGAAAUGUAGUUCCCACACUCCUCUCCUGAACACCGCUGGUCACAGUCUUCACCACCUGCUUGGUCUUGAUCCGGGACUCCCGUAUAGAGGCACUAGAGGGGUCUUUAUUUUACCCCCCGAUUGGGAAGGAGGAGAAUUGCCUUGAGACUCCUGCUUGGUAGCUGAAGUGUUGUUCUGAGCAGCAGGUAUGUUGUGGCCAGCAGUGGGAACCUGACAGGGACAAACCUUCUUCUGCCAGGUUCCUAAUUUAGUGGUGCUUGGUGUCUUUGGUGGUUCGUCCCAAAGCUCUCUUAAGGGGUGAGGAACCAAGCUGAUAGGCUCUUUGGCCACAUUGUCUUUGAUCUCGGACACCCACUUCUGCCAGCUCCGGGUAAGGUUGGACACCAUACAGAUGGGCCUCCAUAUACAGUACUGUACAAACUGGUUGAAUCAAUGUGGUUUCCACGUCAUAAAAAAAAAAAAAAUCUAUGUGGGAAACUGAUUGGAUUUACAAAAAGUCCUCAAUGUAAAGAAAUUUGGUCAUUUUUUCACCCAACUUUUAAGCUAAAUCCAAUGACAUAGUGACAUUUCUUGUUGAUUUCACGUUGAAUUCAUGUUACUUGACAACUCAAUCAAAUGUAAAUCGAAACGAGAUGUUGAAAUUAUGUCGGUGCCCAGUGGGCAAACAAUCAAGUCAAGCUUAGGCUCAAAACAGGUCAGUGACAGACAGGAAGACAGUGACGGUUGGUGCAAUACAGUAGAGCAUAAUUUGAUUCAAAAGCAUCUGUUAAAGAGAUCACCUAGCACAAACACACACAAGAAAAAUAUUAGCUUACUGCACAUGUAAAAUUCUGCUCUAACUUGCAUGUUUGCUGCAAGGUUCUAUUUUCAUAAACACAAAGACUUACUGCAUUGCCACUUGUACAAGAUACAUGAUAUCC